GCGAACGCUGGCGGCAGGCCUAACACAUGCAAGUCGAACGAACUCUUCGGAGUUAGUGGCGGACGGGUGAGUAACACGUGGGAACGUGCCUUUUGGUUCGGAAUAACUCAGGGAAACUUGUGCUAAUACCGAAUGUGCCCUUCGGGGGAAAGAUUUAUCGCCAUUAGAGCGGCCCGCGUCUGAUUAGCUAGUUGGUGAGGUAACGGCUCACCAAGGCGACGAUCAGUAGCUGGUCUGAGAGGAUGACCAGCCACACUGGGACUGAGACACGGCCCAGACUCCUACGGGAGGCAGCAGCGGGGAAUCUUGCGCAAUGGGCGAAAGCCUGACGCAGCCAUGCCGCGUGAAUGAUGAAGGUCUUAGGAUUGUAAAAUUCUUUCACCGGGGACGAUAAUGACGGUACCCGGAGAAGAAGCCCCGGCUAACUUCGUG
rnacentral:rRNA from 1 species